UUCCCAUAGGUUAGUGCUGCUUUGGGUUAACGACUAGCCAUGUCGGCCCGGGUUCUCUAUCAUAUGGAAGCUAGCGACACUAUCAUAUACGUGAGCCAAAAGGCGCAAACAGUCCCGGGCCAUGGUAAGGCGACACCCGUGGAAUACCGUGCGUGAGGCCACAAAGUGAUAUGAGGUGUUACCGGCUAGAUCGAUGUGACUUGGAAUCGGGGUCCUGACAACGGCGAUGUUAGGAAGUCCAGAGACGCCAACGGGGGCCUCGGGAAGAGUUAUCUUUUCUGCUUAACGGCCUGCCAAACCUGGAAACGGUUCAGCCGGAGGUAGGGUCCAGUGGCCGGAAGAGCACCGCAUGUCGCGCGGUGUCCAGUGUGCCCCCGGCGGCCCAUGAAAAUCCGGAGGACCGAGUACCGUUCACGCCCGGUCGUACUCAUAACCGCAUCAGGUCUCCAAGGUGAACAGCCUCUGGCCAAUGGAACAAUGUAGGCAAGGGAAGUCGGCAAAACGGAUCCGUAACUUUGGGAAAAGGAUUGGCUCUGAGGACUGGGCUCGGGGGUCCAGGCCCCGAACCCGUCGGCUGUCGGCGGAUUGCUCGAGCUGCUCACGCGGCGAGAGCGGGUCGCCGCGUGCCGGCCGGGGGACGGAUCGGGAAUCGCCCCUUCGGGGGCUUUCCCUGAGCAUGAAACAGUCGACUCAGAACUGGUACGGACAUGGGGAAUCCGACUGUUUAAUUAAAACAAAGCAUUGCGAUUGAAAGUGCGUUAUAUCGACUAGAGGGGGGUGAAUAGGCGAUUUUUAUGAAAGUCUUCAAAACGUGGAAGUUAUGAAGACAAACGAUAGAAAUAAACCUAUUACCAUGCAGCGGAAGGUAGACUACACUAUACAAGCCAUAGUCAAGUAUUCAAUGAAGUGAAAGCACAAUGACUUAAUAGCAGCAAUGUAGUAAGGAUCAGGUAGGAAGAUAUUAUGAAGCCAUACAGAGCAUGCAGUCACUCAGUGAAGACAAAAGAUAGUGCAAACAUACAAUGACUUCACAAGGAGCAACAGUAAGUAAAGGGAAGGGAAGAUGAAACCAGUGACU
rnacentral:ncRNA from 1 species